rnacentral:lncRNA from 1 species
AUGAGAGGUCGUGACCUGCGCCCCGGGCCGGGGUCACUCACCGGCCUCGCUCUGGUUGUAGUAGCCGCGCAGGGUCCCCAGGUCCACUCGGUGAGUCUGUGAGUGGGCCUUCACUUUCCGUGUCUCCCCGUCCCAAUACUCCGGACCCUCCUGCUCUAUCCACGGCGCCCGCGGCUCCAUCCUCUGGCUCGCGGCGUCGCUGUCGAACCGCACGAACUGCGUGUCGUCCACGUAGCCCACUGCGAUGAAGCGGGGCUCCCCGCGGCCGGGCCGGGACACGGAUGUGAAGAAAUACCUCAUGGAGUGAGAGCCUGGGGACGAGGAGUGGCUGAGACCCGCCCGACCCUCCUCCCGGCGCGGCUUCCCGGGUCCUGCGCCCCCGCCAGGCGGGCCCGUUGCUUCUCCCCACAGAGGCCGUUUCCCUCCCGACCCCGCACUCACCCGCCCAGGUCUGGGUCAGGGCCAGAGCCCCCGAGAGUAGCAGGACGAGGGUUCGGGGCGCCAUGACGGCC